GCAUAUGGGUUAAAACAGAAUUAUUGGGGAAAGAGUUCAUGAGGGAAGAUGGCUUCUUCUAUGUUACACUUGUCUUACUGGGUGAUUCUAAAAGUGAAAGAUGAAGAAUUAACAAUUACAAUAAUAGCAUGACUAGUGAAGACAACUAAGGCAUAGGAGCUACAGAUCCAGAGAGUUAGAAAAGAAAAGGAUUUCAAAGCAGAAUCUCGAGUUUUCCACAGAAGCUACCCAAAUCCCAUAGUGGGAAGCUAAGUUUGGAAGUGAAAGGAAGGAGAAAAAUAUGACACUAGCUGGAGGAAACGGAGAAGAAUUACCAAGAAAAGUUUAAAGGAGACAACAUUUUCUGGUGCAUUUCUUCCUCUCCUGAGUUAUCAUCUAAUAACAAAUACAGAAGCAGUAAGUUUAGUUACCCUAUCAAUAAGUAUUUAUUGAGCACCUAAUGUAUACUCAGAAGUAUUUAAAUUAAAGUAACUUUAUCCCAUGGGAAUUUGAGGAUGAAAUUCGAAGAAU